rnacentral:rRNA from 1 species
CAUAGGUUAAUGAGGCGAACCGGGGGAACUGAAACAUCUAAGUACCCCGAGGAAAAGAAAUCAACCGAGAUUCCCCCAGUAGCGGCGAGCGAACGGGGAGCAGCCCAGAGCCUGAAUCAGUGUGUGUGUUAGUGGAAGCGUCUGGAAAGGCGCGCGAUACAGGGUGACAGCCCCGUACACAAAAAUGCACAUACUGUGAGCUCGAUGAGUAGGGCGGGACACGUGGUAUCCUGUCUGAAUAUGGGGGGACCAUCCUCCAAGGCUAAAUACUCCUGACUGACCGAUAGUGAACCAGUACCGUGAGGGAAAGGCGAAAAGAACCCCGGCGAGGGGAGUGAAAAAGAACCUGAAACCGUGUACGUACAAGCAGUGGGAGCACGCUUAGGCGUGUGACUGCGUACCUUUUGUAUAAUGGGUCAGCGACUUAUAUUCUGUAGCAAGGUUAACCGAAUAGGGGAGCCGAAGGGAAACCGAGUCUUAACUGGGCGUUAAGUUGCAGGGUAUAGACCCGAAACCCGGUGAUCUAGCCAUGGGCAGGUUGAAGGUUGGGUAACACUAACUGGAGGACCGAACCGACUAAUGUUGAAAAAUUAGCGGAUGACUUGUGGCUGGGGGUGAAAGGCCAAUCAAACCGGGAGAUAGCUGGUUCUCCCCGAAAGCUAUUUAGGUAGCGCCUCGUGAAUUCAUCUCCGGGGGUAGAGCACUGUUUCGGCAAGGGGGUCAUCCCGACUUACCAACCCGAUGCAAACUGCGAAUACCGGAGAAUGUUAUCACGGGAGACACACGGCGGGUGCUAACGUCCGUCGUGAAGAGGGAAACAACCCAGACCGCCAGCUAAGGUCCCAAAGUCAUGGUUAAGUGGGAAACGAUGUGGGAAGGCCCAGACAGCCAGGAUGUUGGCUUAGAAGCAGCCAUCAUUUAAAGAAAGCGUAAUAGCUCACUGGUCGAGUCGGCCUGCGCGGAAGAUGUAACGGGGCUAAACCAUGCACCGAAGCUGCGGCAGCGACGCUGAUGCGUUGUUGGGUAGGGGAGCGUUCUGUAAGCCUGUGAAGGUGUGCUGUGAGGCAUGCUGGAGGUAUCAGAAGUGCGAAUGCUGACAUAAGUAACGAUAAAGCGGGUGAAAAGCCCGCUCGCCGGAAGACCAAGGGUUCCUGUC